rnacentral:tRNA from 1 species
GCCUUCGUGGUGUAGUGGUCAGCACGCUGGGCGCGUUCCAAAGGUCCGUGGUUCGAGUCCCGGCGAAGGCG